rnacentral:lncRNA from 1 species
GUAAGAGUAAUCGAUAUCUAGUAAGAUAUUUUUCCUUUUACCAUGUUAUGAAAUGUAACCAUAGUGAAACAUUUCCUAAAAAUUAAGCUAUUUUUGUGACCUUGGAUGACAGUAAUUUUAGAGUUUAUCUGGGGGAUUAGUUAAGAUCAGUUGAGGAAAUUUGUAAGAUCUCACUGAAAUGUAUAAUGUUGAACAUACAUUAUCAAGUUUUCUUAUUUUAUCUGGCCUUCCUAAGAUAACUUUUUACCUCGUGUACUUCCAUGUAAAAUGUUAAUUAAUGUUCAUUUUUAUUGGAAAAUAUAAAUCUUCAUUAAACAUUGCAGUUUCUGGUGAUAAUAAAUAAAUAGGAAAUAGAAAAAUAAUAUAAGGUUAAAGGACAUAAAUUAAAUAAUCACAGGGAGUAUUUUCAAAUAAAAAGUCAAAGGAAGUCUAGCCAUGCCUCUGAGGUGAAGGUCAAAGAGAGAAAGAGAACACAUUUUAGGGGGUCUUUAGAGGAAUGAGUAUUUUGUGAGGAUUUGAAGUUGUUGCCUUCUUGAGCCCAUGUUUACAUACAAAGGUAUGGAUUAAGUUUACCUUGAUCAAGUCAGCCUAGGUAAGUGCAACUGGUGAGCCAAUGCUAAACCAGAGAGAGAGAAAUAGAAAAGACCAGAGUAGACGAAAUUAUUUUGAAAUCAAAUAGCAAAGCUGGGAAGUAAUCCUACUUUUUUCUUAUUUGUUUAUUUUGAGACACAGUCUCACUAUGUAGUCCUGGCUAUAGACCAAGCUGGCCUAGAACUCACAGAGAUCCACCAAUGUCUACCUCCUGAGUACUGAAAUUAAAGGCAUGUGCCACUAUCCCCAGCUAAUAUUACUUGAUUUAAUAAUUACUAUAAAGCUACAAUAAUUAAGAUAACAAAUCAACAGAACAGAGCAAAAUCCAGAACAGGCCCACAAAUAGUUUUUGUAUCAAAAACUCUAAAAUAAUUCAACAGGAGAAAAAGGUCUUUCUUUAAAAAUUUGCCAGAAAAAUAUGGUACAAGUAAUGGAAUUUUGAUGAUGAGUGCUUUUACCUUAUGGAUCAAUUUCGGGAGAAUUGACUUGCUAAUGAUACUGAGUUUUGCAAAUAGUAUCUUUUCCUAUUUAAGUCUUCUUUUAAAGUCUAUCUCAACAGUAUUUUUGGUUGUCAAUGCAAAGGUUUUAUACCUAUUUAUUUCAUUAAUCACUAAUGACUUUUUAUGUUAGUGUUAGUUUCUAACAGUUUGUUGCUAAUAAUAGUGACCCACACUUGAUACCUAUGUAAGAUUCUGUAAUUUGUCCAUCUAUAAACUUGGUGAUUCCUUCAGAUAGUCUGUGUAGAUCAUCUUUUUUCUGUGGCCAAGAUUAUUUCUUCCUCUCUUUUAAUUUUAUGUCUGUUUCUUUUGCAUUCUUUAUUUUGGUGACUAACCAUCCCAGAGAGGUGUUGACUAGAGAUGGUAAGAACUAACAUCCCUCUCUUAUUCCUGAUCAUAUGUUGAACACCUUCAGCCUUUUUACCAGCUUCUGUUGAUCAUUCUUUCCUUAUUGUGAAUGGGUGGUAGAAUUUUGUUAGCUGUGGGGUUUUUGUUGUUGUUUUUAAUUUAUUGAGAUGAUGUUUUUAUUUCUUUUUUCUUUUUGAAUAUUUCAAUGUGAUUGUCAGCUACAUUAAUUUUAAACAUUAAACAACUAAUCAUGAAUUUUUGAGGUAAUCCCUAUUUGGUUAUCAUUGUAUAUUACUGGUUUCAUUUAUAAAAUUUAACUCUUUUUUUGUGUUUAUUUACUUUUAUUUUUCUCUCAUAUAUUACAAUCUUGAUUGCAUUUUGAUUUCCCCUCCUGCCAGCACCCCCUCCCCCAGAUGUUAUCUUUUUCUGAUUUUUUUUGGACUUUCAAGACUGGGCUUCUCUGUGAAAUCCUGGCUGUCCUGAAACUUGCUCUGUAGACCAGGCUGGACUUGAACUCACAGAGAUUCCCUACUGCCUGUGCCUCCCAAGUGCUGGCACUAAAGGCAUGCUACCCUACCACCUGGUUUCUUUUGUGUUUAUAAAAGACCCCUUGGUUUGUAGAAAUUUUUUUGUAAUUUUUUUAAAGUCUGUGUGUGUGUGUGUGUGUGCGCGCGUGUGUGCACACCUGUGUGCCUAAGCAGAGGCCAGAAAAGGCCAUCCGAUGGCUUCAUCUGUCAGUUUAAAUUCAUUCAUAUGAGGCAUAUCUCUUCCCUGAAUGUGUGCCUAGCUUGAGCAGCAGCAAGCUUCAUCAUUCCUGUUUUUUACUUUGGGAUGAUGCUUGCUCUAUGGAUGCUAGGUUUCAAAUGCCAGUCCUCAUGAUUUCAGAGCAAGUACUUAGCCCCUGAGCCAUUACUCCAGCUCCUGUUCUUUUUAGCUUUUUUUAAAUUUUUUAAAAAAAUUUUUUAAAGAUCAGAUCAAUGCAGGUUUCUCUCGGAAUGUUUGUGAAGUAUUCAAGUUCCUUUCUAUUUUUUUUUUUUUUUCCUUAGAGGAGAGUUGGAGUUAAGAAAUGAUUAAGAGUGCUGGAGAUUAAACUUAGCCCCUCGUUUGUGUUAGGCAGCUGCUCUACCACCUAGCUAACCCUCCAGCCCAUAAAAAGGUUUUAAUGUAGGUUUAAGAAUAGGCUUUGCUUGUAUAUGAAUACACAUUUAAUCUUGAGUUUCUGUGUUUUCAUAUUCUUCCUUGUGUCACAUGGUUAUUUACAUUGAAUUAUAACAUAUGGAUUUUCCAUUGUGAGUUUUUUCUAUUUACUUUCCAGAUAUUUGUGUAAAUUUACAGAUGUAUUUCUUUAUAGGGCACUGAUUUAAUCAGAACAUGCAUUGUUUGACAUUUUGUGAACUUUCUGACAUUUAUGAGAAGGCAUAGAAAAUGGACUGUGUUGGCGAUUGUUUUAAUGUGUGCCAAGAAGACUGUGUUUGAGUAGAAAUCUCUAAAAUCGAUAGGUCAAAUUACUUGAGUAGUUUUCUUUUUUAACUCUUGAAGCUUACACCCUGAUGUUCUGGUUGUUCUAAUAAUUGAAUAUGAUAACUGGAUUUGUUUCUCUUUCACUUCUUGGCUCAUGUAUUUUGAAGCUCUAUUAUUGGAUACAUAUGACUAUUUAGUGUCUUUUAGGAGGAAUUGGCUUUUUUUUUUUGGCCAUAAAAUGACCUUCAUUAACUCUGUAGUAGGUUAUGAGAUAGUUACAGAAAUGAUUUCUGUAGUACCUCACAGAAAUCCUAUUAUUCUUUUUAUGUGCAAACUUUCCUUUUUUUUUUUUUCCACCUUUUGGUUGUUUGUAAGACUUGUAUUUUUAUUUUGAGUGUUUUACUUGGGAUAUGUAAGUACACUGCAUGUGUGUCUGAUGCUGAUGGAUUCCAGAAGAUGGCACCAGAUCCCCUGGAACUGAGCUAGGGAUGAUUGUAAGCUGCCACGUGGGUGCUGGGAAGCAAACCCAGCUCUGGUUCUUUGUAAGAACAUUCAGUGCUCCUAACCCCUGAGCCAGCCAUAGCUACAGAGUCUUUUAGUACUACCAGAGGAUCCCGCAAUACCUCUCCUGGUCAUAUAUCCAAAAGAUGUUCCAACCGGUAAGAAGGACACAUGCUCCACUAUGUUCAUAGCAGCCUUAUUUAUAAUAGCCAGAAGCUGGAAAGAACCCAGAUGCCCCUCAACAGAGGAAUGGAUACAGAAAAUGUGGUACAUUUACACAAUGGAGUACUACUCAGCUAUUAAAAAGAAUGAAUUUAUGAAAUUCCUAGGCAAAUGGAUGGACCUGGAGGGCAUCAACCUGAGUGAGGUAACCCAAUCACAAAAGAACUCACACAAUAUGUACUCACUGAUAAGUGGAUAUUAGCCCAGAAACUUAGAAUACCCAAGAUAUAAGAUAUAAUUUGCUAAACACAUGAAACUCAAGAAGAACGAAGACCAAAGUGUGGACACUUUGCCCCUUCUUAGAAUUGGGAACAAAACACCCAUGGAAGUUGUUACAGAGACACAGUUUGGAGCUGAGACGAAAGGAUAGACCAUCUAGAGACUGCCAUAUCUAGUGAUCCAUCCCAUAAUCAGCCUCCAAAUGCUGACACCAUUGCAUACACUAGCAAGAUUUUGCUGAAAGGACCCAGAUAUUGCUGUCUCUUGUGAGACUAUGCCCGGGCCUAGCAAACACAGAAGUGGAUGCUCAGAGUCAGCUAUUGGAUGGAUCACAGGGCCCCCAAUGAAGGAGCUAGAGAAAGUAACUAAGGAGCUAAAGGGAUCUGCAACCCUAUAGGUAGAACAACAAUAUGAACUACCCAGUAACCCCCAGAGCUCGUGUCUCUAGCUGCAUAUGUAUCAGAAGACGGCCUAGUCGGCCAUCAGUGGAAAGAGAGGCCCAUAGGUUGUGCAAACUUUAUCUGCCUCAGUACAGGGGAACUCCAAGGCCAAGAAGUGGGAGUGGGUGGGAGAGUGGGUGGGAGACUUUUGGGAUAGCAUUGGAAAUGUAAAUAAAAUAAAUACCAAAAU